GAAUCUAGCUUCAGGUCUGGGACAACCACUGGAAACGGUGGCUAAUACCGGAUGUGCCGGAAGGUGAAAGAUUUAUUGCCUGAAGAUGAGCUCGCGUCUGAUUAGCUAGUUGGUGGGGUAAGAGCCUACCAAGGCGACGAUCAGUAGCUGGUCUGAGAGGAUGACCAGCCACACUGGGACUGAGACACGGCCCAGACUCCUACGGGAGGCAGCAGUGGGGAAUUUUCCGCAAUGGGCGAAAGCCUGACGGAGCAAUACCGCGUGAGGGAGGAAGGCUCUUGGGUUGUAAACCUCUUUUCUCAGGGAAGAACACAAUGACGGUACCUGAGGAAUCAGCAUCGGCUAACUCCGUGCCAGCAGCCGCGGUAAUACGGAGGAUGCAAGCGUUAUCCGGAAUGAUUGGGCGUAAAGCGUCCGCAGGUGGCUGUGUAAGUCUGCUGUCAAAGAGCGAAGCUCAACUUCGUAAAGGCAGUGGAAACUACACGGCUAGAGUGCGUUCGGGGCAGAGGGAAUUCCUGGUGUAGCGGUGAAAUGCGUAGAGAUCAGGAAGAACACCGGUGGCGAAGGCGCUCUGCUAGGCCGCAACU
rnacentral:rRNA from 1 species